rnacentral:tRNA from 1 species
GGAACGAUAGCGCAAUCGGGAGCGCGCCGGUCUGAAACACCGGCAUGUCUAGGUUCGAAUCCUAGUCGUUCCA